rnacentral:rRNA from 1 species
UUGUUGCUGUGGACAAUGCCUGUGACGCUGAAUGGAAGGGGUACCCCGUGCUAGACAUCGGGGGUCCGCAAGGACGAGGCCAUUUACGAUGCUGAAGUCCUCGGAAGUUCAGUCAAGAAAAACCAGGCGGCGGUUGAAACAGCGCGUCCGUACUAAAACUGACACAGGUAGGCGAGAUGGGUAUUCUCAGGCGCUCGAGAAAACGCUCGUGAAGGAACUCUGCAAGUUGGCCCCGUAACUUCGGGAGAAGGGGCACCGCACGUAAGGUGUAACAGCCUGAAGCGGUCACAGUGACUAGGCUCUCGCGACUGUUUACUAAAAACACAGGACUCUGCGAACUCGUAAGAGGACGUAUAGAGUCUGACGCCUGCCCGGUGUCGGUAAGUUAAGGAAGGGGGUCAGGGCGUAAGCUCGAAGCUCGCAACCGAAGCUCCGAUAAACGGCGGCCGUAACUAUGACGGUCCUAAGGUAGCGAAGUUCCUUGUCGGGUAAGUUCCGACCUGCAUGAAUGGCGUAACGACGGGAGCACUGUCUCCACGAGCGACUCGGUGAAACUGUAGUCGAAGUGAAGAUGCUUCGUACCCGCAGCUAGACGGAAAGACCCCGUGAACCUUUACUGCAGCUUAGUAUUGGGUUUAGGCCCAAUAUGCGUAGAGUAGCUGGGAGGCUGUAAACCGCGCAUCUCGGUGCGCGGGGAGCCGACAAUGAAACACCAGCCUUGUUGUGCUUGAAUUCUAACCCCGAUCCGUGAAUCCGGACGGUGGACAGUGCUAAGUGGGCAGUUUGACUGGGGCGGUCUCCUCCUAAAAGGUAACGGAGGAGUUCAAAGGCACCCUCAACCCGGUUGGCAAUCAGGUGACGAGCGCAAGGGCAUAAGGGUGCUUAACUGCGAGACCUAUAAGUCAAGCAGAUGCGAAAGCAGGACCUAGUGAUCCGGCGGUGCCGGAUGGAAGGGCCGUCGCUCAACAGAUAAAAGGUACUCCGGGGAUAACAGGCUUAUCUCCUCUGAGCGUUCAUAGCGGCGGGGAGGUUUGGCACCUCGAUGUCGGCUCAUCGCAUCCUGGGGGUGGAGAAGCUCCCAAGGGUUUGGCUGUUCGCCAAUGAAAGCGGUACGUGAGCUGGGUUUAGACCGUCGUGAGACAGGUCGGUCCCUAUCUGCUGUGGGCGUAGAAGUCUUGAGAGGCCCUCUCUCUAGUACGAGAGGAUUGAGAGGGACGUACCUCUGGUGUUCCAGUUGUCGCGCUAGCGGCAUCGCUGGGUAGCUAUGUACGGUCGGGAUAAACGCUGAAAGCAUCUAAGCGUGAAACCCUCCUUAAGAUUAGGACUUCCUGCCGCAAGGCGAGAGGCUCCUGGAAGACUACCAGGUCGAUAGGCCGGGUGUGUAAAGCCAGUAAUGGCAAAGCUAACCGGUACUAAUAGCCGAGCGCUUGGCCGC